CUACGGGGCGCAGCAGUGAGGAAUAUUGCACAAUGGGGGGAACCCUGAUGCAGCAACGCCGCGUGGAGGAUGACGCAUUUCGGUGUGUAAACUCCUUUUAUAUGUCAAGAAAAUGACGGUAGCAUAUGAAUAAGCACCGGCUAACUCCGUGCCAGCAGCCGCGGUAAUACGGAGGGUGCAAGCGUUACUCGGAAUCACUGGGCGUAAAGGACGCGUAGGCGGGUUGGAAAGUCAGGUGUGAAAUCCUACAGCUUAACUGUAGAACUGCACUUGAAACUUCUAAUCUAGAGUAUGGGAGGGGGAGAUGGAGUUAGUGGUGUAGGGGUAAGAUCCGUAGAUAUUACUAGGAAUACCUAAAGCGAAGGCGAUCUCCUGGAACAUUACUGACGCUAAGGCGUGAAAGCGUGGGGAGCAAACAGGAUUAGAUACCCCCGUAGUC
rnacentral:rRNA from 1 species